UGCCGCGUGUGUGAAGAAGGCCUUAUGGUUGUAAAGCACUUUAAGCGAGGAGGAGGCUACUGAAGCUAAUACCUUCAGAUAGUGGACGUUACUCGCAGAAUAAGCACCGGCUAACUCUGUGCCAGCAGCCGCGGUAAUACAGAGGGUGCAAGCGUUAAUCGGAUUUACUGGGCGUAAAGCGCGCGUAGGCGGCUAAUUAAGUCAAAUGUGAAAUCCCCGAGCUUAACUUGGGAAUUGCAUUCGAUACUGGUUACCUAGAGUGGGGGAGAGGAUGGUAGAAUUCCAGGUGUAGCGGUGAAAUGCGUAGAGAUCUGGAGGAAUACCGAUGGCGAAGGCAGCCAUCUGGCCUAACACUGACGCUGAGGUGCGAAAGCAUGGGGAGCAAACAGGAUUAGAUACCCUGGUAGUCCAUGCCGUAAACGAUGUCUACUAGCCGUUGGGGCCUUUGAGGCUUUAGUGGCGCAGCUAACGCGAUAAGUAGACCGCCUGGGGAGUACGGUCGCAAGACUAAAACUCAAA
rnacentral:rRNA from 1 species